rnacentral:rRNA from 1 species
UGGGGAAUAUUGCACAAUGGGGGAAACCCUGAUGCAGCGACGCCGCGUGAAGGAAGAAGUAUCUCGGUAUGUAAACUUCUAUCAGCAGGGAAGAAAAUGACGGUACCUGACUAAGAAGCCCCGGCUAACUACGUGCCAGCAGCCGCGGUAAUACGUAGGGGGCAAGCGUUAUCCGGAUUUACUGGGUGUAAAGGGAGCGUAGACGGAGCAGCAAGUCUGAUGUGAAAGGCGGGGGCUCAACCCCUGGACUGCAUUGGAAACUGUUGGUCUUGAGUACCGGAGAGGUAAGCGGAAUUCCUAGUGUAGCGGUGAAAUGCGUAGAUAUUAGGAGGAACACCAGUGGCGAAGGCGGCUUACUGGACGGUAACUGACGUUGAGGCUCGAAAGCGUGGGGAGCAAACAGG